rnacentral:rRNA from 1 species
ACGGGUGAGUAACGCGUGGGAACGUGCCUUCCGGUUCGGAAUAACCCUGGGAAACUAGGGCUAAUACCGGAUACGCCCUUAUGGGGAAAGGUUUACUGCCGGAAGAUCGGCCCGCGUCUGAUUAGCUAGUUGGUGGGGUAACGGCCUACCAAGGCGACGAUCAGUAGCUGGUCUGAGAGGAUGAUCAGCCACACUGGGACUGAGACACGGCCCAGACUCCUACGGGAGGCAGCAGUGGGGAAUAUUGGACAAUGGGCGCAAGCCUGAUCCAGCCAUGCCGCGUGAGUGAUGAAGGCCUUAGGGUUGUAAAGCUCUUUUAUCCGGGACGAUAAUGACGGUACCGGAGGAAUAAGCCCCGGCUAACUUCGUGCCAGCGGCCGCGGUAAUACGAAGGGGGCUAGCGUUGCUCGGAAUCACUGGGCGUAAAGGGCGCGUAGGCGGCGUUUUAAGUCGGGGGUGAAAGCCUGUGGCUCAACCACAGAAUGGCCUUCGAUACUGGGACGCUUGAGUAUGGUAGAGGUUGGUGGAACUGCGAGUGUAGAGGUGAAAUUCGUAGA